ACCAGCCAUCAGCAGUAAGGUCCUGUAACCUACCAGCCAUCAGUAAGGUCCUGUAACCUACCAGCCAUCAGCAGUAAGGUCCUGUAACCUACCAGCAGUAAGGUCCUGUAACCUACCAGCAGUAAGGUCCUGUAACCUACCAGCCAUCAGCAGUAAGGUCCUGUAACCUACCAGCCAUCAGCAGUAAGGUCCUGUAACCUACCAGCCAUCAGUAAGGUCCUGUAACCUACCAGCCAUCAGUAAGGUCCUGUAACCUACCAGCCAUCAGCAGUAAGGUCCUGUAACCUACCAGCCAUCAGCAGUAAGGCCCUGUAACCUACCAGCCAUCAGCAGUAAGGUCCUGUAACCUACCAGCAGUAAGGUCCUGUAACCUACCAGCCAUCAUCAGUAAGGUCCUGUAACCUACCAGCCAUCAGCAGUAAGGUCCUGUAACCUACCAGCCAUCA